rnacentral:tRNA from 1 species
UGCGGGGUGGAGCAGUCUGGUAGCUCGUCAGGCUCAUAACCUGAAGGUCCCUGGUUCGAAUCCAGGCCCCGCUACCA